UACGUAGGUGGCGAACGUUAUCCGGAAUUAUUGGGCGUAAAGGAUGCGUAGGUGGUGUAGUAAGUUAUCGGUGGCAAAUCGAGGCUCAACCUCGUGGAAGUCGGUAAUACUGCUAUGCUAGAGGAUAGGAGAGGUUAACGGAACUCCCUGUGGAGCGGUGAAAUGCGUAGAUAUAGGGAAGAACACCAAUCAGGCGAAGGCAGUUAACUAUUCUAUUCCUGACAUUGAGGCAUGAAAGCGUGGGGAGCAAAACGG
rnacentral:rRNA from 1 species